rnacentral:rRNA from 1 species
UACGUAGGGUGCGAGCGUUGUCCGGAAUUACUGGGCGUAAAGAGCUCGUAGGCGGUUUGUCGCGUCGUCUGUGAAAUUCUGCAACUCAAUUGCAGGCGUGCAGGCGAUACGGGCAGACUUGAGUACUACAGGGGAGACUGGAAUUCCUGGUGUAGCGGUGAAAUGCGCAGAUAUCAGGAGGAACACCGGUGGCGAAGGCGGGUCUCUGGGUAGUAACUGACGCUGAGGAGCGAAAGCGUGGGGAGCGAACAGGAUUAGAUACCCUGGUAGUCCACGCCGUAAACGGUGGGUACUAGGUGUGGGGCUCAUUUCACGAGUUCCGUGCCGUAGCUAACGCAUUAAGUACCCCGCCUGGGGAGUACGGCCGCAAGGCUAAA